rnacentral:tRNA from 1 species
GCCCCCGUAGCUCAGGGGAGAGAGCACCGGCCUCCGGAGCCGGGUGCGCAGGUUCGAAUCCUGCCGGGGGCG